rnacentral:rRNA from 1 species
AAUCCAUAGGUUAAUGAGGCGAACCGGGGGAACUGAAACAUCUAAGUACCCCGAGGAAAAGAAAUCAACCGAGAUUCCCCCAGUAGCGGCGAGCGAACGGGGAGGAGCCCAGAGCCUGAAUCAGCAUGUGUGUUAGUGGAAGCGUCUGGAAAGGCGCGCGAUACAGGGUGACAGCCCCGUACACAAAAGCGCAUGUGCUGUGAGCUCGAUGAGUAGGGCGGGACACGUGGUAUCCUGUCUGAAUAUGGGGGGACCAUCCUCCAAGGCUAAAUACUCCUGACUGACCGAUAGUGAACCAGUACCGUGAGGGAAAGGCGAAAAGAACCCCGGCGAGGGGAGUGAAAAAGAACCUGAAACCGUGUACGUACAAGCAGUGGGAGCCCCACCACCAAAGCAUUCUCUGGUGUUGAAGGCCCUGCAAAGCAGCAUCGCGGUGGCGGAGCGUCGUUUGCGACGCCCAACACACAAAACAAGCGGUGAGUGCUUUGGGGUGGGGUGACUGCGUACCUUUUGUAUAAUGGGUCAGCGACUUAUAUUCUGUAGCAAGGUUAACCGUAUAGGGGAGCCGGAGGGAAACCGAGUCUUAACCGGGCGUUAAGUUGCAGGGUAUAGACCCGAAACCCGGUGAUCUAGCCAUGGGCAGGUUGAAGGUUGGGUAACACUAACUGGAGGACCGAACCGACUAAUGUUGAAAAAUUAGCGGAUGACCUGUGGCUGGGGGUGAAAGGCCAAUCAAACCGGGAGAUAGCUGGUUCUCCCCGAAAGCUAUUUAGGUAGCGCCUCGUGAAUUCAUCUCCGGGGGUAGAGCACUGUUUCGGCUAGGGGGCCAUCCCGGCUUACCAACCCGAUGCAAACUGCGAAUACCGGAGAAUGUUAUCACGGGAGACACACGGCGGGUGCUAACGUCCGUCGUGAAGAGGGAAACAACCCAGACCGCCAGCUAAGGUCCCAAAGUCAUGGUUAAGUGGGAAACGAUGUGGGAAGGCCCAGACAGCCAGGAUGUUGGCUUAGAAGCAGCCAUCAUUUAAAGAAAGCGUAAUAGCUCACUGGUCGAGUCGGCCUGCGCGGAAGAUGUAACGGGGCUAAACCAU